rnacentral:rRNA from 1 species
CCUACGGGAGGCAGCAGUGAGGAAUAUUGGUCAAUGGACGAGAGUCUGAACCAGCCAAGUAGCGUGAAGGAUGACUGCCCUAUGGGUUGUAAACUUCUUUUAUAAAGGAAUAAAACGAGGCACGUGUGCCUUUUUGCAUUUACUUUAUGAAUAAGGAUCGGCUAACUCCGUGCCAGCAGCGGCGGUAAUACGGAGGAUCCGAGCGUUAUCCGGAUUUAUUGGGUUUAAAGGGAGCGUAGAUGGGUUGUUAAGUCAGUUGUGAAAGUUUGCGGCUCAACCGUAAAAUUGCAAUUGAUACUGGCAGUCGUGAGUACAGUUGAGGUAGGCGGAAUUCGUGGUGUAGCGGUGAAAUGCUUAGAUAUCACGAAGAACCCCGAUUGCGAAGGCAGCUUACUAAACUGUGACUGACAUUGAUGCUCGAAAGUGUGGGUAUCAAACAGGAUUAGAUACCCCUGUAGUC